GAUGAACGCUAGCGGCAGGCCUAACACAUGCAAGUCGAGGGAGAGGUUACCUUCGGGUAACCCAAACCGGCGCACGGUUGCGUAACGCGUAUACAAUCUGCCUUUCACAUAGGGAUAGCCCGAAGAAAUUUGGAUUAAUACCUAAUGGUAUAUAAGAGCGGCAUCGUUUUUAUAUUAAAGCUACGGUGGUGAAAGCUGAUUAUGCGUUCUAUUAGCUAGUUGGAGAGGUAACGGCUCCCCAAGGCGACGAUAGAUAGGGGUUCUGAGAGGGAUGUCCCCCACACUGGUACUGAGAUACGGACCAGACUCCUACGGGAGGCAGCAGUGAGGAAGAUUGGACAAUGGUCGGAAGACUGAUCCAGCCAUGCCGCGUGCAGGAUGAAGGUCCUAUGGAUUGUAAACUGCUUUUGUAAGGGAAGAAUAAGGAGUACGUGUACUUUGAUGACGGUACCUUACGAAUAAGCAUCGGCUAACUCCGUG
rnacentral:rRNA from 1 species